CAGCAUCUCCGUGCCCUCAGGACAGCUGUGCUGAGCUGGGGGAGGAAGCUGCCAGCGUGUCCUGCUGUCCUGGCGGCCGUCUGAGGCUGCCUUUGCUCCGGAUGCAUGGCCAGAUGCUCCCUUCUGCAGCAGGGCUGCGAGCAGGAGCAGGCUGCGGGGAUGAGAACCACGUUCCCUCUUUCGGUGGUGGAGCCGCCACGUGCCCGUGAUUGUGCUACGGAGGCUGCCUGCGAUGCGGCUCGCAAUAAGGAAAACCCAAAGGUAAUGCUUCUGGGCCGUGGCACGUGCAGGCAUCAGCCUUUCUCUUAAGGUCGUGCUCCCCCCUCAGCUGUACGCCGCUUGGAGCGCCUGCCGUUCCCAGCACAGCCGUUGCACCCCGACCCCAUUUCACCCGAGGCUCGUGACCCGGGAUCCUUGCAGAAAGCACCGCGCUCCUCGAGCUUGCAGCCGCGCCUUUGCACGGACACUUCCCAUUUGAAGCUGCCCUUUCCCUCCGCUGGCCUUGGCUUUGGACAGGCGCUGGGGGGUGGUUUGAAUGUGAGCCACUUUGCCGCUUCUGAGCGAGCAGACCUGGGGGUGCCCUGUGCGAGGGGCCAGGGAGGAUGGCGGAGAAACUCCCCGGGCUGCAGAGAGGUUCUGGCAGCAGGUGCUGAGCUGCAGGGUUUGACAAUGCUGCAGUCUUCCCGGAGCAGUGACCACAGGUCACCUGGACCGUGCUUUAUUGCACCGUGAUGUUCCUUCUUGCUCGUGUGCGGUGUUGCACAUGGUUGGCUUUAUUCAUUGCAGCAUUUCUGUGUAGUAGGCAAAUGAGACCCAGUACCAAACCCUCCUCCCAAAGCCAACUUCUCUGCAGUUGGCUUUGAGCUUGGGCAGCCUGAGCUGCUCCAGGACCCGUUCCUGCCUAUGCUUCCUGGUCCCGUGAGGCGAGAAAUACUCAUGCCUACGAGGCAGGCAAGCUCCCCUGCAGACAGCAAGGCUCCCCGGGUGCUGCUGCUGGGUGAGGGGCUUUGGGGGAUGCCCCGAGUCCUGCCCUGCGGGAGCAAAGCUUCACUUCCCAGAGGAAAGUGAAAGGCCAGCUAUGCAGAAACCAGCUGUACCCAGGUCACCUGGCCUGACGCUCCUGUGAGGACGCACAAUUCAGCACUCGGACACAGCUUAUGCCUGGUGAGAAAGGGAUGUUGCCCUCUUUCAUUUAACCUUCGUUGCCCCCCAGGUUGACCUGUAGUGCGGAGACUCCCAGCUGGGCACCAGGUCAACCCCAUGCGUUCCUAUGGCAGGUGGACCUGUUGUCUGGAGAGCUGAGGCCAGGCACCGGUCAACAGCGUGGACCACAGCCCCCCUCCCUUCUGUCUGUAGUCCGGUCUCGAGACAAAUUGCCCUCUGCAAGGGGCCCUGCCCCCAGUGUCUGGGGCCGACCAAGGCUUCACAGCACUGUGUUCAGCAAGGUUGCUCCUUCCCAAGCUCUGGCCCAGCCAGUGGUGCAGGGGGCUGGACCCGAUGC